ACUGACUCAACAAUGUACAUAAAGUGGGUAAAAUAAUCUUACCUCCCGGUCCUUUAGUUCCCACUCAUAUUUAGGCAAGUGAUUUUGUUGUUUCUGCAUUUCUAGGCUGCAAUUUAAGGAAUAAGAAAAUCAUUAGCUGAAUAAUGGGAUGUGUACAUUGCCAUCUUAAAAGAUCCCCCCCUGUCAGCACUGGAAUAUAUGCUCACCCAGUUCAUGUGAUAUCCCCUCCACCAUCCUGUCAACCGGUUCACCAUAAUCAUCAUAUGCAACACCAUCAUCAUGGGCAACAAAUGCACCACCAUCAUCAUGGGCACCAAAUGCACCACCAUCAUCAUGGGCAUCAUGGCCAUCAUGGGCACCACUAGUGAAAUGCGUAACAUACAAGAUUAAGGUAUACUUCCCCUGCAAUAACAGAUGGUGACUGGAUAAAACUUGAGAGCUUUGUUCUUGCACCACUCAGCUUGUUGGAUAUUGAGAUUCUACAGCUAGUUUACACUUUUGUUUAACCUUUUGUAACUUUAAAAGUACAUUCAACUAUGAAUUUAAUUCCCCAUAAAAGACUAAUAAACUGUGAAAAAUCUG